rnacentral:rRNA from 1 species
UACGUAGGGGGCAAGCGUUGUCCGGAAUUAUUGGGCGUAAAGAGCGUGUAGGCGGUCCGGUAAGUCAGCUGUGAAAGUCAAGGGCUCAACCCUUGAAAGCCGGUUGAUACUGUCGGGCUAGAGUCCGGAAGAGGCGAGUGGAAUUCCCGGUGUAGCGGUGAAAUGCGCAGAUAUCGGGAGGAACAUCAAUGGCGAAGGCAGCUCGCUGGGACGGUACUGACGCUGAGACGCGAAGGCGUGGGGAGCGAACGGG